rnacentral:ncRNA from 1 species
ACGGGGAGAUGGCAUUCCUCCCCUGAAAAACCGCCGUAGUGGCUAAUGAUGCCUACGUUA